CCUUCCUCAUGAUAAAAUAGUAUCUGUAAAACAUCAGUUUCAUGUCCUUCCUCAUGGUGAAAAAAGUAAGCCACAUAAAAAAUCAGUCAUUUCUUACCACUUACGUAGCGGUCCUGUUUCCCUCUGGUACGGACUCUAUGUUCACCCCGAACCAGAACAACCACAAACUGUGUUGAUGCUUCACUGCCAAACUAAAUGCACACACAGUUUACAAUAUGUCAUUUUGAGAACAAAUACUCCAUAUGAGUGAAAAGUUCUCGACAGGGGACGUUAAACAAGAUAAAAGAGAGCAUAUAAUCUGCCAUUUCUCUAUGCUUUGUGAUAAACAGGGUGAUAGUUAGGCCUAUAUGACUUCUGUAGUCUAUACAUGUAUCUUUCUGGCAUGCUAAGCCGUUCUUUACAUACCGAAUUUGACCACGGAUUACUCCUGAUCACCUGAUCAGGGUACAGGGCUUACGGCGAGUGUGACUGGUCAACAACGGAUGCUUACUCCUCCUGGGCACCUGUUCCCACCUCUGGUGUGUACAAGGGCCCGUGUUUGCCCUGGAAGUGAAGUACCACACAUUUUGACCUACAUUAGUAUGCUUGGCGCUCAGGGGCGUUGUAUUUGUGACUAGUAAUGUGCAAACUUCCGCCAGAGUUCGUUUGCUCACAAACCAAAUUCUUCCAGUUAGGCAUCAUGGGAUAACGACUUCUUAGGAACUACAAAACCUAAACUGGUUCCCCGCUGAUUGGUGCUACACAUGAGGUCAACAGGGUACCAAUUUACUACAAAACCAUGCGGCCACGUAUACUGUGUGACGUCAAUUUAGAAUGACGGAAAAACAUAACGUCAAACGUAAACAGUUCAAAUCAAGAACGUAAACAUCAAAUUCAUUACUUUACACCAUAAUUUGGACAGAGUCUCCCUACUUUUUAGUGAUUCAUUGAUCAUUCUGUUUAAAAUAAAAUCCAUACUUUUAUAUUA